UCGACUCUCUUUGUACCAACAGGAAGCAGGAAGAGGGCGACUUUACUUGGUGUCAGUGACAGAAAUGAGAAAAAGCUGAAAUGAGUGAGAAGGACGAUGAAGGAAACAUCUGUGCUGUGUCUGCUCUAUGCAGCUGCAGUCUGCUCAGCAGUGAGAACUGAAGACGUCAGUCAAAGAGAAGGAAAACCAGUCAGAGCUGAGAGAGUUUCUACCAGAGCCAAAUGUCAUCGACUCCUCACUGAAGUCGUCCACCAGUCCAACCACUGGAAUCCAGCUGCUGCUCUCUAACUGGUCCACACAGCAGCUCAGACCUGACACAUUCACUGUAAACACACUGGUCUAUAUUCUGUUUGUUCUCCUCAUGAAGGAAACCUCACACAACCACUGAGGCCAGAAAGUUCAAACAGGACAGUUAUUAUUCCUUUCUUUUAUAAAGAAGCUGGGAAAUUGACUUUCCCAAACUUUUUAUAUUAAAAAGAUAACGUUUUCUUUACCAAACCUUUCAGAAUAAAAGUAUGACCAAGACAUCAUUUAUACAUAAACAGUAAUAAAUCUUAUGUAACUAAAAUGUAGAUGUAAUCCAUGUUUUCAUGUCUUCAGUAACUUUGCUGUUAUUUAUGUUAUUUCUAAGUGUGCUGUCGUCUCCACAGCAGUGAUCUGGUUUCUCUGCAGGUUCAAUAAACUUUGGUCUCACUUGAUCUUCUCGUCUGAUUCUGUGGGUUUCACAAAGAUGUCUGAUGGAAAACAGCAAGGAGAGAGGU